rnacentral:rRNA from 1 species
GACGAACGCUGGCGGUGUGCUUAACACAUGCAAGUCGAACGGUAAGGCCCUUUCGGGGGUACACGAGUGGCGAACGGGUGAGUAACACGUGAGUAACCUGCCCUCAUCUCUGGGAUAACAGUCGGAAACGGUUGCUAAUACUGGAUAUGAGCUUGCAAGGCAUCUUGUGGGUUGGAAAGAUUUUUUUGGUUGGGGAUGGACUCGCGGCCUAUCAGCUUGUUGGUGAGGUAGUGGCUCACCAAGGCUUCGACGGGUAGCCGGCCUGAGAGGGCGACCGGCCACAGUGGGACUGAGAUACGGCCCAAACUCCUACGGGAGGCAGCAGUGGGGAAUAUUGCACAAUGGACGGAAGUCUGAUGCAGCAACGCCGCGGGCGGGAGGACGGCCUUCGGGUUGUAAACCGCUUUCAAUUGUGACGAAGCUUUUUGUGACGGUAGCAGUAGAAGAAGCACCGGCUAACUACGUG